AUGUCCAGUGGCUGAGGGCUCUGGAACCAAGAUGGAUGCACAAAAAAAAAAAGAACAUCCAGAAAAGGGAUUUGGGCCAGACACUGAAUUCCACCUCAUUUUCUCCUCUGCUUGUGACACCUCUGCACUGCUCUCGAUCGUCUUAUAAAGCUCCUGGUUACAAAAACGCUGGCUGGAGCAGCAGCUAGGACAUCAGCCUGGGUGACCAAUGUGGGCAAUGAGCACGGUGGUUAUGUUUGUGCUCACAUCUCACGAGGGAGGUGGACUGCUGCCCAUGGCAGCUGGCUUAAUAGGGUCCCUCCGCCAAAGCUCCUGAGCAGAGCAGAGCAGUGGCCAUGUUCAACGAGUGGGAGGAGCUGGAUGUCAGCCUAGAUGUGUGGCACUUGAUGCAAAGGUUUGCAGCCGGGCUCACCACAGACAGCCACCAGAUUUAUGGCCUCUUCAUGGCAAAUCUCUCUGUCUGUAUUUUUGUGUGGGAUGUAGGAGAUAUGGCUCAUCUGCACGAAGCCAUGCAAGCAGAGCUGGAGGUGAAGCAGCACAUCGUGGGUCUAACUGAGGUGAAGCUCAUCAGCAAGCUGACAACAAAGCAAAUUGCUCGACACGGUCGACACAGCAUGCGAAGGGCAGAGGGGACGGAGCUGCUCAUCAGUCAGCUGCUGGUGACUUUCCGCAAUGUGACAGACACAAUGGGCAUCCCCCUGCUGGACACUGAAAGAAGGGAUUUCAUUUGGAACACCCAGCAGCAACACCUGCGCUGCAUCCAGGAUCCUCUAGGGCUGCAGCUUUAUUCAAAGACAAGGCAGCUGACUAGAAGUGGUGUAGUCGUGCCUGUUUACCGUUGUGCACGGGGCAUCACCUCCCUGGAAUCAUUUCAUCACCAUUUAAAUUACUUUACAAUUGGUACUUAUACAAAUACAGAAUACUUCCAGGCAUUCCUUUUGGAAAGAUUGACAAGGUGGAAUGAGGACUGUGCAGAUGCAGUGGAAGAUCAGUCAGGGGAAGGACUGCGCCGCUACAAUGGCCAUCUGCAGCACAGCCUGAAGCAGCUCAGUCAGCUGCCUGGACAAAGCCUGGGAAUACACAGAAUAAUAACUAUUCUCAUCAGAAUAAUUACGCUGCUGUUGACCAAUCAGAAAAACAAAUGCAAACCUGUUAUUCUAAUUUAAGUUGUACUGUUUUUUUUUUUGUCCUUCAGGAGAGCUAAUUGGUGUUGAGUACCUCUACUCCCAGCAGUGCAAAGAACUGAGGGGGACAUCAGCUAGUACCCAGAUGCUUUUGAUGCCACCCCAGAUGAGGCGAGUGGGAUGAAAAAGGGUUUGACACGGUCGGGCAGAGAGGAGGAAAGAUUGACCCCACAGUUGCACUGCUUUCUGGUUUCCAACCCCACCAUGGAUUGCCCUCCAGAUGUUCUCCACCAGUGGCUCCAGCAGAACCAGUGGCUCCUACUCCUUCUCUGACCCAGUCCUUCAGUCCCCAGUAGCUACAUUAGGGGUGGAUGACAGCAAUAAUGUAAGUUUAGAUCUCAAUAUUUUUAAAAACACUCAUGUCUAAGCAAUGUAAAUUUGAAUUUAAUUCUUUUGUUUUUUGUUUAUCUUGUCAAGUAGUCAUAGUCCCCAAUAGAGCACCGGGCUACAAUCAUGUGGUCAGGCUGGCCAGGUACCUGGUGGGGCUGCAUGACUAAACUGGUCUCUCUUUGAGUCACUUUGCCAAAAUAAUUAGCCUUUGGAAGUCUCUGCCAGAGGCUGACAAGCAGCGUCUCUCCUACUUGCAGAGACACAGGGAGCGGCUUCUACAGGGGCGGUUUAAGGCCAGCCAUUCAAAGAGCACCACAUGCAGUGGAACAGAAAGCCUGAAACACUGUUUGAUGGGCCAAGGCACAGGGCCGGCGCAAUGGCUGAAUGCAGGCCACCUAGUUGAGACCAUAUGCCUGGAGCUGUGCUUUAUUCAUCCUAGUGGCAGAAAGCUGAUGGGCUUCAGGACAAACCGGUGGGCUGUCAUCCUGGAUGACUUUGGCAGGAUACGGAGUCUGACUUUGAACAGCCCUGGGCUCAUGGGAGCAAGAUGGCUUCAACUUUUUUAAAUCAACCAGCGCACUCUCUCUCUGUGGUAAGGCUCUUAAACUUAAACACUAUCACUGCAGUGCGGAAAAUCCACAGCUGAACCCUGUAAAUGCUUUAUUU